rnacentral:rRNA from 1 species
CCGAUGGUAGUGUGGGGCCUCCCCAUGCGAGAGUAGGGAACUGCCAGGC